rnacentral:rRNA from 1 species
GAUGAACGCUGACAGAAUGCUUAACACAUGCAAGUCUUUGGCGAAGCUGUGCUUGCACAGCCUAGCCAAGGCGGACGGGUGAGUAACGCGUAAGGAACUUGCCCUGCAGUCAGGGAUAACAGACGGAAACGACUGAUAAGACCUGGUAAAGUCAGGCGGACUCAUGUCCAGCCUGAUGAAAAGAGAUGCUGCAGGAGAGCCUUGCGUCCUAUUAGCUUGUUGGUGGGGUAACGGCCCACCAAGGCGAUGAUAGGUAGCCGGCCUGAGAGGGUGGACGGCCACAAGGGGACUGAGAUACGGCCCUUACUCCUACGGGAGGCAGCAGUGGGGAACAUUGGACAAUGGGGGCAACCCUGAUCCAGCAAUUCUGUGUGCACGAUGAAGGUUUUCGGAUUGUAAAGUGCUUUCAGCAGGGAAGAAAAAAAUGACGGUACCUGCAGAAGAAGCGACGGCUAAAUACGUG